rnacentral:misc_RNA from 1 species
AAAAAUGCGGUACAGAUGUACGACCAAGAGCAGCCUUACUAUUUGAUUGGGUAUUCCUUUGGAUCAUUGGUUGCCAUGGAGAUGGCCAUUCAGUUACAAGAACAAGGGUCAGAAGUUGGAUGCCUGAUUCUGUUAGAUGGAGGUCCAGCUUACUUUCAUAGUCAGUUUAAACAAGGAACACAGGCAGCAUCCCAAGAAGAGGAGAAAUUGGUCUACUUGGAGUGUGGAGCCCUAGUCAACUUUCUCCAGAUGUAUGCAUCCAUUCCAAACCACCAUCUGAUCAUGAAGAUUCUGCUCUCAUUGAAAACAACACAAGAGCGCAUUGAUCUGGCCCUUGAUAUGACUUUUGGACGAGUUCUUGUCAGUCCAAACCCAGCUAAAUCCAAAUGGCUCAUCGCUAAGGAGAAAAUGAAAAUAAGGGGAUUUCUGACUCCAUGUAAAAGUUAUGGCUUUGGUGAUGCUGCAGAAGAAAUAAUUCGUUUAAAGAGACUUGAAGCUGCCAAAGAUUUCAUCAGUAGUGUACACAUGGCGUACAAAUACCAGCGCACAAGCCAGAAAUUUAGAGGGGACAUUCAUCUGUUGAGGGUGAAAUCUGAACUGCCUCACUCUGGGAAUGUACCACUGGACUAUGGGCUGAAGGACUGGUGCACUGGCAAUGUGAGUCUCCGGUUCUACAAUGGGACACACGAGUCCUUCCUACAGGAGGAGGAUGGAGAGGCUGUAGCAAAGGAUAUCACCCAAAUCAUACAAGACUUAUGUUGAUUCCAAUUAAACUGACAUGCAGAGGCAAGCAGUGAAAGAGCCGUUUCAGUCUUCAUCUAUAAGAGUUUUGGAAUUCUUUGCAAUUUGUUUGAUUAUCAGUUUUGAUCUACAUGUAGAUAGUGCUUAAAUUAUAAAUAAACAAAUUAAUUU